UACGUAGGGUCCGAGGCGUUGUCCGGAAUUAUUGGGCGUAAAGGGCUCGUAGGCGGUUCGUCACGUCGGGAGUGAAAACUCGGGGCUUAACCCCGAGCCUGCUUCCGAUACGGGCGGACUAGAGGUAUGCAGGGGAGAACGGAAUUCCUGGUGUAGCGGUGGAAUGCGCAGAUAUCAGGAAGAACACCCGUGGCGAAGGCGGCUCUCUGGGACGGUACUGACGCUGAGACGCGAAAGCAUGGGUAGCGAACAGG
rnacentral:rRNA from 1 species